GUGGGAUGAUGAGAGUCACAGAAGGUUUCGCUCACUGGUCUGAACUCCUGUGAUGUCACUUCCUCUUGGCUGUCUGACCAA
ensembl:snoRNA small nucleolar RNA SNORD53/SNORD92